CCGUCGCCGACGUCGACGCUGCCGGAGAGGAUGGAGAUGGAGGUGGGGUCGUAGGCGAAGAGGAUCUUCUUGUUGGGGUUGGUGGCGGAGACCGUGACGUCGAAGCGGGAGUUCAGGGCGGAGGAGGAAGUCAGGUUCAGGUACGAAAGCUUCAGCGACGUCACGGUGAAGGUGGGGCGGUGGGGGCGGUAGAGCAGGUAGAACACCGUGCCGGCGAUGCCGAGCAAGAGGAGUAGGACGAGCACGGUGAGGAUCAGCCAGAAGCAGAAGGUGCAGCAGCACCGGCGCUUGCUCCGGCGCCGGUGGUGAGGCUGCGGGCGGUAGGUGGGGCGUGUGGCGCCGUAGAGUUGGGCCUUUGUUGCUGGAAAAGCAGGGUUGGCGGCGGCGGCGGCGGCUGGUUUCGCCGAAGGGUACACCCUGUCUGUCAUGGCGAUGGUGUUAAGUGUUUUUUUUGUUAACUGAAGUUGUUGUGUGGG
rnacentral:lncRNA from 1 species